ensembl:lncRNA
UCUCAGUGCCCCAAAAUUGAGUUCCGUUGACCCCAAAUGGGCCUCCAUGUCCCCAAAUGGGCCUCAAUGUCCCCAAAUUGGGUUCCAUUGUCCCCAAACUUGUCAUCAUGUCCCCAGAUCAGACCCCACUGUCCCUAAAUGGGUCUCAGUGUCCCCAAAUUGGGUCUCAAUGUCCCCAAAUGGGCCUCAAUGUCCCCAAAUUGGGUUCCAUUGUCCCCAAACUUGUCAUCAUGUCCCCAGAUCAGACCCCACUGUCCCUAAAUGGGUCUCAGUGUCCCCAAAUUGGGUCGUAAUGUCCCCAAAUGGGUCUCAAUGUCCCCAAAUGUUCCGUCAUGCCCCCAAAUCGAGUCCCAUUGUCCCCAAAUGGACCCCACCAUCCCCAAAUGGGCCCCACUGUCCCCAAAUGAGCCCCAAUGUCCCCAAAUGUCCCGUCAUGUCCCCAAAUCGGGUCCCAUUGUCCCCAAAUGGGUCUCGAUGUCCCCAAAUCAGACCCCACUGUCCCCAAAUGGGCCCCAAUGUCCCCAAAUCAGACCCCAAUGUCCCCAAAUGAGUCUCAGUGUCCCCAAAUGGGUCUCAAUGUCCCCAAAUGGGUCUCGAUGUCCCCAAAUGUUCCGUCAUGUCCCCAAAUCAGACCCCACUGUCCCCAAAUGGGUCUCGAUGUCCCCAAAUGGGGUCCCAUUGUCCCCAACUGGGUCUCAGUGUCCCCAAAUGUUCCAUCAUGUCCCCAAAUCAGACCCCAUUGUCCCCAAAUGUUCCGUCAUGUCCCCAAAUCAGAUCCCACUGUCCCCAAAUGUGUCCCACUGUCCCCUAAUGGGUCCCAUUGUCCCCAAAUGGGCCUCAAUGUCCCCAAAUUGGGUCCCAUUGUCCCCAAAUCAGACCCCACCGUCCCCAAAUGGGUCUCAACGUCCCCAAAUGUUCCGUCAUGUCCCCAAAUCAGACCCCAAUGUCCCCAAAUGAGUCUCAGUGUCCCCAAAUCAGAUCCUAGUGUCCCCAAAUGGGUCCCAUUGUCCCCAAAUGGGUCUCAAUGUCCCCAAAUGUUCCGCCAUGUCCCCAAAUCAGAUCCCAGUGUCCCCAAAUGGGCCCCAAUGUCCCCAAAUCAGACCCCAAUGUGUCCCAAUGUCCCCAAAUGUGUCCCACUGUCCCCAAAUGGGUCUCAAUGUCCCCAAAUUGGGUCUCAAUGUCCCCAAAUGUUCCGUCAUGUCCCCAAAUCAGACCCCACUGUCCCCAAAUGGGUCUCGAUGUCCCCAAUUGGGUCCCAUUGUCCCCAAAUGUUCCGUCAUGUCCCCAAAUCAGAUCCCUGUGUCCCCAAAUGGGUCUCGAUGUCCCCAUCCCAUUGUCCCCAAAUGGGUCUCAACGUCCCCAAAUGUUCCGUCAUGUCCCCAAAUCGAGUCCCAUUGUCCCCAAAUCAGACCCUACCAUCUCCAAAUGUGUCCCAUUGUCCCCAAAUGCCCCGUCAUGUCCCCAAAUCGAGUCCCAUUGUCCCCAAAUCAGACCCUACCAUCUCCAAAUGUGUCCCAUUGUCCCCAAAUGCCCCGUCAUGUCCCCAAAUC